rnacentral:misc_RNA from 1 species
CGAGUUAAUUGUAAGACUCUAGACCUGUGAACUGUUAAUCUAAUUAAGCAUGUUGCUUACGGCGGUAUCGACGGAGGUCCCACUGGGACAUGGCAGGGCGGAAGCACGCUGUGCAGCUUAUUCAUUACUACAUGUAUUAUUUGGUUUGGAAUCGUUGAGUAAAGUAAAAAGUUAUA